rnacentral:tRNA from 1 species
AGCUCAGUUGGAUAGAGUACCGGUUUCCGAAGCCGGGGGUCACAGGUUCAAUUCCUGUC